rnacentral:rRNA from 1 species
GAUGAACGCUGGCGGCGUGCCUAACACAUGCAAGUCGAACGGACAGACGAUGAGCGCGCGCCCCUGACGUUGGCGACGGGCGGGUGAGUAACGCGUGAAUAACCCUCCACUUCGACGGGGGUAACGUCGGGAGGCCGUAGCUCAUAACAGAGAAUAUAUUGAACGGCAUGGUUCAAUAGUUAUUUUCGGUUUUGGUGUCACUCAUAGCCGAUUCCUCGCUUCAUUGGCUAGUUGGUAAGGUAACGGCUUACCAAGGCAACGAUGCGUAGCCGAGCUGAGAGGGUGAUCGGCCACACUGGAACUGGGACACGGUCCAGACUCCUACGGGAGGCAGCAGUAGGGAAUCUUGGGCAAUGGGCGGAAGCCUGACGGAGCGACGCCGCGUGGGUGAUGAAGGUCUUCGGGUCGUAAAACUCUGUUAUUGGGGAAGAACAAAUGUGUAAGUAACUAUGCAUGUUUUGACGGUACCUAAAGAAAAAGCACCGGCUAACUACGUG